AGAACGAACGCUGGCGGCAUGCCUAACACAUGCAAGUCGAACGCCUGUAGCAAUACAGGAGUGGCGCACGGGUGAGUAACGCGUGGGAACCUGCCCUGGAGUGGGGGAUAACCGAGAGAAAUUUCGGCUAAUACCGCAUACGUCCUGAGGGAGAAAGAUUUAUCGCUCUAGGAGGGGCCCGCGUCGGAUUAGCUAGUUGGUGGGGUAACUGCCUACCAAGGCAACGAUCCGUAGCUGGUCUGAGAGGAUGAUCAGCCACACUGGGACUGAGACACGGCCCAGACUCCUACGGGAGGCAGCAGUGGGGAAUAUUGGACAAUGGGGGAAACCCUGAUCCAGCAAUGCCGCGUGAGUGAUGAAGGCCUUAGGGUUGUAAAGCUCUUUCGGCGGGGACGAUGAUGACGGUACCCGCAGAAGAACGCCCGGCUAACUUCGCGCCAGCAGCCGC
rnacentral:rRNA from 1 species